rnacentral:tRNA from 1 species
GCCGUGGUAGUGUAGUGGUCUAGCAUUGGGGACUGUCGCUCCUCUAACCCGGGUUCAAAUCCCGGCCACGGCG